rnacentral:rRNA from 1 species
GGGCCCGCACAAGCGGUGGAGUAUGUGGUUUAAUUCGAUGCAACGCGAAGAACCUUACCAGGGUUUGACAUCCUGCGAACCUCUUGGAAACGAGAGGGUGCCUUCGGGAACGCAGUGACAGGUGGUGCAUGGCUGUCGUCAGCUCGUGUCGUGAGAUGUUGGGUUAAGUCCCGCAACGAGCGCAACCCACGUCUUUAGUUGCCAGCAUUCAGUUGGGCACUCUAGAGAGACCGCCGGUGAUAAACCGGAGGAAGGUGUGGAUGACGUCAAGUCAUCAUGCCCCUUACAUCCUGGGCUACACACGUACUACAAUGCUACGGACAAAGAGCAGCAAGUUCGCGAGGACAAGCAAAUCUCAUAAACCGUGGCUCAGUUCAGAUCGUAGGCUGCAACUCGCCUACGUGAAGGAGGAAUCGCUAGUAA